rnacentral:rRNA from 1 species
UACGUAGGGUGCGAGCGUUGUCCGGAAUUAUUGGGCGUAAAGAGCUUGUAGGCGGUUUGUCGCGUCUGCCGUGAAAAUUCGAGGCUCAACCUCGAACUUGCGGUGGGUACGGGCAGACUAGAGUGUGGUAGGGGAGACUGGAAUUCCUGGUGUAGCGGUGAAAUGCGCAGAUAUCGGAAGGAACACCUGUGGCGAAAGCGGCUCACUGGACCAUUACUGACGCUGAGGCACGAAAGCUAGGGAGCAA